rnacentral:rRNA from 1 species
GCACCACAAGGGGUGAAGCUUGCGGUUUAAUUGGAGUCAACGCCGGAAAUCUCACCGGGAGCGACAGCAGUAUGAAGGCCAGAUUAAAGGUCUUGCUAGACGAGCUGAGAGGAGGUGCAUGGCCGUCGCCAGUUCGUGCCGUGAGGUGUCCUGUUAAGUCAGGCAACGAUCGAGACCCGCGUCCUCUGUUGCAACCAGUUUUGCGCUGGGCACACUGAGGAGACCGCCACUGAUAAAGUGGAGGAAGGAGCGGGCCACGGCAGGUCAGUAUGCCCCGAAUCUCCCGGGCCACACGCGAGCUGCAAUGGCAAGUACAAUGGGUUCCGACCUCGAAAGGGGAAGGCAAUCUCGAAAGCUUGCCGUAGUUGGGAUCGAAGGCUGAAACCCGCCUUCGUGAACAUGGAAUCCCUAGUAAUCGCGUGUCAUUAGCGCGCGGUGAAUACGUCCCUGCUCCUUGCACACACCGCCCGUCGUUCCACCCGAGCGACUCUUGGGUGAGGUGCCGUCUAAUUGGCGGUAUCGAAUCUAAGUUUCGUGAGGGGGGAAAAGUCGUAACAAGGUGGCCGUAGGGGAACCUGCGGCCGGAUCACCUCCU